rnacentral:rRNA from 1 species
UACGUAGGAGGCAAGCGUUGUCCGGAAUUACUGGGCGUAAAGCGCGUGUAGGUGGUGGGACAAGUCUGCUGUGAAAGCGCCUGGCUUAACCGGGCGAGGUCGGCGGAAACUGUCCGACUAGAGGGACGGUAGGGGGGGGUGGAAUUCCCGGUGUAGUGGUGAAAUGCGUAGAGAUCGGGAGGAACACCUGUGGCGAAGGCGGCCCCCUGGGCCGGCCCUGACACUGAGACGCGAAGGCGUGGGGAGCGAACGGG